rnacentral:lncRNA from 1 species
GAGUAAAACACUAAAGAAAAGCUUAGAACAGCAAAGACGAAGGAAGAAGAAGAUGAAAAUUAUGGAUGGAGUACUUACGCUUUUAUUUUCACUCUCCUCCAAGCUGUGCGCGCUGCUGCCACGAUGGAAACAUCCAAGUUAGGAGGUAUGGUGGAAAUCUCCUUUACUUUUUUAUACUUUCUGGUCAUUCCGUGAACGGUGCGGAAACAUUGACAAAACGCAACGCAAACUUUGACUGGGGCGAUCCUGUGGACGAAGCAUCAUUUCUAUGGAGGAAAACAAGGAAAGCCCAACCAUUUCUCUGGCGAAACAAGACACAGAAUGUACAAACUUGCCCAGCACGAAGUUCACGGGGUUGAUUGAAUCGCCCUUUCGACAUCCA